rnacentral:rRNA from 1 species
UACGUAGGUGGCAAGCGUUGUUCGGAUUCACUGGGCGUAAAGGGUGCGUAGGUGGUUGGGUAAGUCUGAUGUGAAAUCUCCGGGCUCAACCCGGAAAUGGCAUUGGAUACUAUUCGGCUAGAGGUUUGGAGGGGGGACUGGAAUUCUCGGUGUAGCAGUGAAAUGCGUAGAUAUCGAGAGGAACACCAGUGGCGAAGGCGAGUCCCUGGACAACACCUGACACUGAGGCACGAAAGCUAGGGGAGCAAACAGG